UGCCAGACUGACCCUAGUAAAGGGGCCAGGCCUCGGAGGAACUCCCUCCCUCUCUCCCUUCUGUCUUUUCCUUCUGCCCGCUCUCCCUCGUCCCUUUUCUCCGCCUUUUCCGCGCUCCAUCUUGCCCUCCUCCCUCCUUCGCCCCCGCUCCGGCUCUCCCCUUCUUCCCUUCUCUCCCCACCCCCUCCCUUUCUGGGGCAGGAAUUUCUCCGAGGCGCACUAAGGCUCCGGGGCGAGUCCGAGCAGCGUGAGCCGGGAAAAGCCAUCCCGGGCUCCCAGGACCGCGCACUCCGCGGGGAGACUGCCCUUCGGAAAAGCUGUGGAAACACACCCGGAUUGAAAUGCCCCUGGCCUGCCUGACCCGACCCCAGGAGAAGCAACCGAGUUACCCGACAUCGUGGUCAGCAGGAGCUGGGUCGGUGGCUGGAUGCUGCAGCUGCAGGGACUCAGCGCCUGGGAGGGCUCCUGGGCAGGGAGAGAAGCAGAGAUGCAACAUUUUUAAAGUUUCACAAAGCAUCCGGCUGCACCCAGGUCCCUGGAGCAGGAGACAAACAGAAUUAAUGUUUUAUACCUUCGGGUAUAGGUUUGAGUUUUUUCCCCCUCAUGCCAAGUAUUUAAAACCUCUAGAAACCCAU